AGGGUUUGAUUAUGGCUCAGGACGAACGCUGGCGGCGUGCUUAACACAUGCAAGUCGAACGGAGAACUUAUUUCGGUAAGUUCUUAGUGGCGAACGGGUGAGUAACGCGUGGGCAACCUGCCCUCCAGUUGGGGACAACAUUCCGAAAGGGAUGCUAAUACCGAAUGUGCUCCCUCCUCCGCAUGGAGGAGGGAGGAAAGAUGGCCUCUGCUUGCAAGCUAUCGCUGGAAGAUGGGCCCGCGUCUGAUUAGCUAGUUGGUGGGGUAACGGCUCACCAAGGCGAUGAUCAGUAGCCGGUCUGAGAGGAUGAACGGCCACAUUGGGACUGAGACACGGCCCAA
rnacentral:rRNA from 1 species